rfam:Triticum urartu cultivar G1812 contig677072, whole genome shotgun sequence.
UAAAUACUCCCUCCGUUCCGAAUUACUUGUUGCAAGUAUGGAUGUAUCUAGAUGUAUUUUAGUUCUAGAUACAUCCAUUUCUGCGACGAGUAAUUUGGAACGGAGGGAGUAGUAU